rnacentral:tRNA from 1 species
AAUUUAUUAGCUUAACAAGAGCAAUUUAUUGAAGAUAAAUAGGUCUAAUAUUUUU